UAUGUGAUCGUCUCUCGCAUAUCAAUAAGCGGAGGAAAAGAAACUAACAAGGAUUCCCCUAGUAACGGCGAGUGAAGCGGGAAGAGCUCAAAUUUGAAAUCUUAAAGGGUUUCCCUUUACGAAUUGUAGUUUAAAGAAGUGUUUUCUGUUGAGGUUUUGGUAAAAGUUCUUUGGAAGUAGGACAUCAUAGAGGGUGAGAAUCCCGUAUUUGACCUUUACUUUCAACUUUGUGAUACACUUUCAAAGAGUCGGAUUGUUUGGGAAUGCAGUCCAAAAUGGGUGGUAAAUUUCAUCUAAAGCUAAAUAUUGGCGAGAGACCGAUAGCGAACAAGUACCGUGAGGGAAAGAUGAAAAGAACUUUGAAAAGAGAGUUAAACAGUACGUGAAAUUGUCAAAAGGGAAGCGUUUGACACCAGUGUUGUUUUUCUGAAAAUCAAUUAAAGAACUGUUUAUGCUAAGUUGUUUAGACUUUAUCAGCUAUCUGCUUAGUUUUGAGCUUUUCUUUAAUGCACUUUUCAGUUAACAAGUCAACAUCAAUUUCUUUUGCUGUAAAAAAGCUUGAGGAAGGUGGCUUGAGAUUCGUCUUAAGUGUUUAUAGCCUCUUGCCUAUGCAGUCGGAGAGAUUGAGGUCUGCAGCGUAGAUCCUUCGGGGCUAAAUGCAUUUGUGCUAAGUUAUAGCAUUUUAUAGACAACUUGUUGACUAUGAUUUGUCUUGUAGCUUACUCGCUUAUGUUAUUUUACCUACGCUUAGGAUGUUGACACACGCGCGUGCUCG
rnacentral:rRNA from 1 species